rnacentral:rRNA from 1 species
ACGCUGGCGGCGUGCUUAACACAUGCAAGUCGAACGAAGAGCGAUGGAAGCUUGCUUCUAUCAAUCUUAGUGGCGAACGGGUGAGUAACGCGUAAUCAACCUGCCCUUCAGAGGGGGACAACAGUUGGAAACGACUGCUAAUACCGCAUACGAUCCAAUCUCGGCAUCGAGACUGGAUGAAAGGUGGCCUCUAUUUAUAAGCUAUCACUGAAGGAGGGGAUUGCGUCUGAUUAGCUAGUUGGAGGGGUAACGGCCCACCAAGGCGAUGAUCAGUAGCCGGUCUGAGAGGAUGAACGGCCACAUUGGGACUGAGACACGGCCCAGACUCCUACGGGAGGCAGCAGUGGGGAAUCUUCCGCAAUGGACAAAAGUCUGACGGAGCAACGCCGCGUGAGUGAUGACGGCCCUCGGGUUGUAAAGCUCUGUUAAUCGGGACGAAUGGUUCUUGUGCAAAUAGUGCGAGGAUUUGACGGUACCGGAAUAGAAAGCCACGGCUAACUACGUGCCAGCAGCCGCGGUAAUACGUAGGUGGCAAGCGUUGUCCGGAAUUAUUGGGCGUAAAGCGCGCGCAGGCGGAUUGGUCAGUCUGUCUUAAAAGUUCGGGGCUUAACCCCGUGAUGGGAUGGAAACUGCCAAUCUAGAGUAUCGGAGAGGAAAGUGGAAUUCCUAGUGUAGCGGUGAAAUGCGUAGAUAUUAGGAAGAACACCAGUGGCGAAGGCGACUUUCUGGACGAAAACUGACGCUGAGGCGCGAAAGCCAGGGGAGCGAACGGGAUUAGAUACCCCGGUAGUCCAGGCCGUAAACGAUGGGUACUAGGUGUAGGAGGUAUCGACCCCUUCUGUGCCGGAGUUAACGCAAUAAGUACCCCGCCUGGGGAGUACGACCGCAAGGUUGAAACUCAAAGGAAUUGACGGGGGCCCGCACAAGCGGU